rnacentral:rRNA from 1 species
UACGUAGGGUGCAAGCGUUGUCCGGAAUUAUUGGGCGUAAAGAGCUCGUAGGCGGUUUGUCGCGUCUGCUGUGAAAACGCGAGGCUCAACCUCGCGCCUGCAGUGGGUACGGGCAGACUAGAGUGCGGUAGGGGAGAUUGGAAUUCCUGGUGUAGCGGUGGAAUGCGCAGAUAUCAGGAGGAACACCGAUGGCGAAGGCAGAUCUCUGGGCCGUUACUGACGCUGAGGCGCGAAAGCGUGGGGAGCGAACAGG